GUGGGGUAGUGGCCUACCAAGGCGACGACGGGUAGCCGGCCUGAGAGGGCGACCGGCCACACUGGGACUGAGACACGGCCCAGACUCCUACGGGAGGCAGCAGUGGGGAAUAUUGCACAAUGGGGGAAACCCUGAUGCAGCGACGCCGCGUGCGGGAUGACGGCCUUCGGGUUGUAAACCGCUUUCAGCACCGACGAAUCAAGACGGUAGGUGCAGAAGAAGCGCCGGCUAACUACGUGCUAGCAGCCGCGGUAAUACGUAGGGCGCAAGCGUUGUCCGGAAUUAUUGGGCGUAAAGAGCUCGUAGGCGGCUUGUCGCGUCGGGUGUGAAAGCUCACGGCUUAACCGUGAGUCUGCAUCCGAUACGGGCAGGCUAGAGGCAGGUAGGGGAGAACGGAAUUCCCGGUGUAGCGGUGAAAUGCGCAGAUAUCGGGAGGAACACCGGUGGCGAAGGCGGUUCUCUGG
rnacentral:rRNA from 1 species